GUAGAAUAAAUUUAUAAGUGAGAAACUAGAUAUAAAUUCUUGAUAAACUUUUACAAAGAAGUUAGAGAGUAAAUUUGAAGAGAUUGUAAGUCGAAUAUGAGUCACAGGCUUACAAACUCUUUUAACAAGAAAAUCCAUUUUAUCGAGAGAUGAUAAGAUUUAUCAAUCUUAAGCUUAAUUAAAGGCUCAAAUACUCAAAUCACUUAAAAUAUUGUAUUAUUAGUUCCAUUUAGACAGAUAAGAUUUAGACAAAAAUCAUUUUAAGAUAUUUUUACUUUUCAUUUGAAAUAAAAUGACAGAAUUGACAUAAAACUGUUAUACUAGCGACAUCUAAAGAUUUUCAGCGAAUAAAUCUACAAGAAUGGUUACAAAUAUGUCAAACUCAAUCAUCGUUCGCUUCAAAUAGUAAACAUCGAGUUUCGACAGUGUUCCCUAUCAUACCUGGAACAAUUCUAUUCUCAAGACACGGUGUUUUCGGUUAAUCGAAGAUGCAUGCAUCACGAACAAAUUUAGUUCGCACGUAUUCCUGUCAUCCCUUUGCACGACGAAACUAAUAUGGAAUCUGCUUGAUAGUCACAGCGCGUUCCUUCAUUCGAAACUCUAUUUUCCAGAAGGAUAGGACCGGAGGAGAAACAAGCUUGCUUGAAUUUUGAAGGAAAGAUCAUUGAACUUUGUUGGAUCGGUCCAAAUGACACGAUCAAGAAUUAAAUCAAAUUAACCUGGAUCUUCAACGGAAUAUAUCACGUAUUUACCGUUUCUACCAAUAAACAACUUCGCUCUAUACACAUACACGUAUUCGUCGAAAUGAAAUUUUUAGUUGUAGAACAUAUGAGGGCUCGUUCCUCAAGGAUACACCAUGUCCACGCGACAGCGAUUCCUCGUUUGGGAUGGCCCUUAUGGAUUCACGCCGGCAUAUCAAGCAGUCCCAGACACGGGUUUAAGAUUAAUGCUCGUUAUGAAUCUAAGGCGAUUACAUCGUGAUUAAGUUAAGGAGCCUUCGUCUUAAUCGCUGAAUCACGCCGGGCCAUUCUAAUUGGUUAAUCCGUCUCUGCACUGCUAUUCCAGUAAGUGUAAAUCUCGGGCAUAUGUUAAUUCGAAACAAUACGAUAACCUCUCCAAUGUUUGACAAAUAUCCCCGUGUCCAUCCACGCGUAGAUCCACGCGUUUCGAUACGAAGGGGCCAGUUCCACCUCGUGAUAGGUUAUGCGCGUCGCCACUAAUUAAGGGGAUGCGAUCGGUUCAUCUUAUUACGGGCUGCAUUAUCGUGUAAGGGAUGCUGCAAUCUGUAAUACUAUUAGCAUUAAUUGGAAUGGAGUAAUUAACCUUUGGUUGGGCGGCGUUCAGAUAGCAGAUAAACCGCGGCUAAUAUGCGGUUUAUUCGUGUACACGUGAAUAGUUAACAGGGGAGCCACGUGUAUACAUGUGGCGGUGCAGUCGGAAAAUAAAGAGGAAGGAAGAAAAGGAUGGAGAGAGUGUUUCGCCUUGGAUCCGCUAGAGGUUGUAAGUGUGACUUAACAGAAUAAUGAAGGUUUUUUUAUUUUUCUUUCUUCGAUGAAUUUAGUUUCGAAUUUUGAUUAUAUUCGAAUUAUAUCGGUGUCGUUAAUCUGAAUUAUAGAAGAUGAUAGAAAGUGAGAAUUGUGAUCAAGCAACGAAUCGAUACAUAAUACAGUAGUACACCUGUCUCUUUAUUCUUUUCAAUGAAAUCAAUUUAUUCAAAAUUUAUUUUCAAAUAUUUAUUCAUUUUCGAAGUGUGUCAACGCAUGUAGUCUCGCACGGUCAUCAUCGAUUUCACGUGGAAAUGUACCACGAUCACGUGCUUCAGAACUGAUGCAACACGAACUAGCGAUCUUUCACGUUAUUUUCAUCGUACGUGAUGACAUUAUGUAUAUACCUUUCUUACGUAUUUCCGGAAAAAGUAUUCAUCGUGAACGAGCCGCGCCCUCAAAUUCCACGCUCAAUUUUCAUCGCGAUGCGACAUAUUUAUUAUAUAUUCUCCAUAGAGAAACGAAGAUGACUGUAGCAGUUUCAUACGUUAAAGGGAGAAAUGGAUAUAAAUAAGAAAAAAUUAACAGUCUUCAUUUCUUUGUCAACAUGUAUGAUUAAAAAAAAGAAGUGUGAAUUAUUUUCUAAUAAAAAAAAAACUACGUGACGUAUAAAUUUCAUUAAUUAGCUUGCAAAGUGCGUACUGUUAUUGUUUAAAUAAAUAAAGAAAAUUAAAAUUCAAAGAAAAUUCGAAGAGUUAUCAGACCAUUAAGCUAUUCUAGUUCUGAGGAAUGGUAAUUGAAACAUUAAAAAGCUAUUACGCUCGUCAAUUAAGUAUUCAUUAUCGCCAUUCAUUACUAGUCACGAUUAUCGAGCAGCAUAUGCCCCAUAAAAGUGAAAAAGAAUGGAAAGAACGAGGAAAGAUAAUAGGAGGGCGUGGUUAAAAGCGUCAAAAAUUCGUGAAACUCAUUGUGUCCAAGAGACUAAAACGGGAGAGUUCGACAAACUCGCACCAAACACGUGACCUUACUCAGAAGUUCGCGGAAGCCGACCCUCGUUUGCUAUUCAAGCCAUGAUCUCUUGGCCUGCUACGAGAUUCCUUUUUGGUAGUGUCUGCAAAUAUCACAUCGAACACUCGAUAUACGACAACCAAUAAAUCCCUAACCUCUAAGAAUCGUAUAGCCAAGGGAUGGUAGAGAUAAAAAUAAAAAUUUUCACGUGAGAUCACUUUGUAUCGAAGUUUAUGAUUAAUCUUUAUUACAUAUGAUGAUAAAUAAGAUUUUAUCAUAAGCGAAUGAUUAAUUAUACUUUUCUUAAUUAUGCGUGCUGAUCCUUACCAUCAAAUAUUUCGUUACAAAAAUUUAUGAUAUUAUUAUUUAAAAUAUUAGCUUAACUACCUCUCCAUUGUAUAAAUAAUAAUAAUGUAUAAAUAAUAAUAAUUAAACUAUUAUUUUUAUAAAGUAUCAAAAGAAA